rnacentral:rRNA from 1 species
AUUGAACGCUAACGGCGUGCCUAACACAUGCAAGUCGAGCGGCAGCAUGACUGUAGCAAUACAGUUGAUGGCGAGCGGCGGACGGGUGAGUAAUGCAUAGGAAUCUGCCUUGUAGUGGGGGAUAACCAGGGGAAACUCGGGCUAAUACCGCAUAAUCUCUACGGAGCAAAGUGGGGGACCUUCGGGCCCUACGCUAAAAGAUGAGCCUAUGUUGGAUUAGCUAGUUGGUAGGGUAAAAGCCUACCAAGGCAACGAUCCAUAGCUGGUCUGAGAGGAUGAUCAGCCACACUGGGACUGAGACACGGCCCAGACUCCUACGGGAGGCAGCAGUGGGGAAUAUUGGACAAUGGGCGAAAGCCUGAUCCAGCAACGCCGUGUGUGUGAAGAAGGCCUUCGGGUUGUAAAGCACUUUUAGUGGGAAAGAAAAGUUCAUGGCUAAUAUCCAUGAAUGCUGACGUUACCCACAGAAAAAGCACUGGCUAACUCUGUGCCAGCAGCCGCGGUAA